UCAGGACUCUGCCCCCGAUUUUAGUCCAAAGGAGCUGCUUUUGGGAAUUGCAUGUCUGGCUCCAGUGUUUGCCUGCUGAGGAAGAGGUAUCAAUUGCUGUAACGCAGGGUUGGACUGGGUGACCUCUCCUCAUAGAUCAGUGGAACAAUUCCUGGAAGUGCUGGCCACUUGGAGUGAGCAUUACCCAACGUUGCCAGUACUCCUCAGUGCAGAGGUUUUGCGUUAAAGGACUCUUUCUGGCCGUGUGGCCAGCAGCCCUCCUUCUCCUGUCUUUCCUUGCCAUUGCCUGGUAACUCUGGCUCACUCUGUUCUUCAGUCUUGUUACGUGGAUUUCUCUCCAAGUAAUUCCUCAGCAUCCCCUUGAAUGGCAUCUACUGCACGUGAGGCUAGAGCCUGUGACGGGGAGCGGGGUGUCACCGCGCUGCCCGUUCUGCUUCCACAUCCGACCCAGCGCCGAUGGCACACCCUUUGGGCCUCACCACAGCCAUAGGGCCCUCUUGUCCUCUGAUGAGCUCAGCAGAGCCGUUUUCCUCCCACAGACAGAGCGCCCUGUGUUCUGACUGGGAGAAUAAGGCCAUGCACCCCUUCUUCCCCUGAACUCAUGCAGCGAUGCUUUCAGGGGACGUCUCAAGGCGGUGUCUGCAGCCACAGUGCUGUGAGCAUGACAUGGGUUAACUCUGCAAGAAGGUGUUUUCACAGCCUCGCAGUAGAUAACUUUUCCAACCCACAAGGCGGAAACAACUUCCUAUAACUCACUCCAGCACAGCUAUUCCCUAGAAGACAUCCUCCCUGAUUUCUUGUGGGGCCUGUAAGAUCACUGAAAUUGUAGAACAGCAAAGACAUGGAAAAGACAUUGAGGUCCUAUUGCUUCCGUCGGAAACUUCUGACUACAGCAUGAGUUGGAUUGGGCCCAGAGAAACCAAAUACACACAAGUAGCAAUAAGUUGGCCAUACAAGCAAGGAAAAUCACAGAUAACAGGUGCACACAAAUUAGCAAUGUACCUUUUAGGUCACCCAGUACAGCUCCCUGACACCAUGAGAUUGUUUCCUAUGGCAUAUUUUCAGUUGUUUUGUGUGCCUAGAUUAAAUGUCUUAAGUGAUGCCAUGUCCCCAGGGAGAGAUUGUGCUGCCUAGAGUAUCUUCUUGUCAGAAGUGUUUUUUCCUUUCUUAACAUCAUCAUAUUUCUCCUAGUUAUGUCCCUUUGCAAAUCUCCUUCUCCUUCACUGAUGCUAUUUUCCUCCAGUAUCUCUUAACUAGUGUGAUGUUGUGUUUAGUUAGCAUUAAGACAACCCGCAGCUAUUUAGCUCAUUUCAAAUGAGCUAAACAAAUCAGUCCUUUCAGUCUCCUGGUUAUUCUUCCUGUCCUCUUGUCACACUCCUGCCUGUCAGUAUCCUUUUUAGUUAUGAGAUUUUAAAGAUGUGAUGCAUUUCUCUGAACUAAUGACAGAUCUGGUAUAGAGCUGAGCACCCUCAAUGUCGUCUCACUGAAAAACCCUCCUGAUGUGCUCAGGGGAAGGCUACAAGCACUCUGGACAGACACGCAGGUAGAGUAUUCUGCUCAAACCACUUCCCUGGUGCUACGUACUCUUUUGGCCAACAAAACCCUAUUAAAAAGGUAACCUAGUAGUUCAAAACUGAAUACAUGUCAUUAUGGAUUUAUUUCAUUUCUCACUGUGUUAAGAGAUGGAGUAGAACAGAUGAAAAGAUUUUUUGCUGUUGAGAUUUUCUAACUCUUGGUCAUGGACAUCACAGUCUAAAAUUAUGGAAGACGUCAUCUUUCAGAACUAUAUCUGCAUAUUAGGAGAAUACAUUGUAGAAAGUAUUUAUAUACAUAGUCACAAGCCUAGCUGUUCACUUCAGACAAUAAAUUCUGAUCAACAAACAAAAUUCCUUUGGUGCUAAACAAGAUCUUGCUUGCAAUUGAAUGUCUUUACCUUUCUGUUCUGUUGGGUUGGAGGAAUAUAAUUUUAAUCUACUCUCUUUAAAUUUUCAUUAAGGAACGUUUCAGCUACCUGCAGCCUCAUCUGAUGAUGUUUAAGGAUACCAGCUAGCUCGGUCUUCUGUGCACCAGCAGGGACUUCUUUAAAUUGGUCAACUGUAUGGAACAUUGUUUUCAAGUUUAAUGUACUUGGAAUCAAGCUUUUAAAAUAAUAACAUCUCUAGAUGACAGUUUAUAUACAUAGUGCACACACAUACACGAAUGCAUUUAUAUGUGCGCAUGUGUGUAUGCACAUAUAUAUGUGUAAGUGAACACAUAUGUACAAAAAUGCUGAUCCUAUUCACCUUCUUGAAACCAUUUCAGCUAGUAUUAACAUAAAUAUGCUGUUAAAUUGGCAGUGUCAUACAUUUUUGUUGGAGUUUACUUCUGUAAUAUAAAAUCAGAAAGAUAAGCUGUGAAACUCAUGCAGCUGAUGACAUAAUGCUAGGAUCUCGUGAUGCUGAAUCUCAUAUUUCUAGGAGUGUGGGAUGGAUGUUCCUUGCUGAAAUAAUUAUACUGCCUAUUGCAAUAUAUGUUUCCUUGCUUUCAUGUGGGCACUGAGAUGUCCAAACCAUUAAACAUAUAUGGUAUAAUGA